rnacentral:rRNA from 1 species
GCCUAAUAAACCAUUGGGAAAGUCGGAUCAGAUGGAUGUAGAGCUUGCUCUUAUGAAUUUAGCGGCGGACGGGUGAGUAACACGUGGGUAACCUGCCCAUAAGACUGGGAUAACUCCGGGAAACCGGGGCUAAUACCGGAUAACAUUUUGAACCGCAUGGUUCGAAAUUGAAAGGCGGCUUCGGCUGUCACUUAUGGAUGGACCCGCGUCGCAUUAGCUAGUUGGUCAGAUAACGGCUCACCAAGGCAACGAUGCGUCAGCCAACCUGAGAGGGUGAUCGGCCACACUGGGACUGAGACACGGCCCAGACUCCUACGGGAGGCAGCAGUAGGGAAUCUUCCGCAAUGGACGAAAGUCUGACGGAGCAACGCCGCGUGAGUGAUGAAGGCUUUCGGGUCGUAAAACUCAGUUGUAAGGGAAGAACAAGCUGCUAGUUGAAUAAGCUGGCACCAUGACCGUACCUAACCAGAGAAGCCACGGCUAACUACGUGCCAGCAGCCGCGGUAAUACGUAGGUGGCAAGCGUUAUCCGGAAUUAUUGGGCGUAAAGCGCGCGCCAGGUGGUUUCUUAAGUCUGAUGUGGAAAGCCCACGGGCUCCAACCGUGGGAGGGUCAUUGGAAACUGGGCAGACUUGAGUGCAGAAGAAGGAAAGGUGGAAUUCCAUGUGGUAGCGGUGAAAUGCGGAGAGAUAUGGAGGAACACCAGUGGCGAAGGCGACUUUCUGGUCUGUAAAUGACACUGAGGCGCGAAAGCGUUGGGGAGCAAACAGGAUUAGAUACCCUGGUUAGGUCACAGCCGUAAACGAUGAGUGAUAAGUGGUAGAAGGGUUUCCCCCCCUUUAGUGCAGAACUUAACGCAAAUAAGCACUCCACCCCCGGAGUACGUGCCAGCACCAGGCUUGAAACUCAAAAGAAUAUGAAAGCGGCCCGCACCAGCCGUGCGAGCAUGUGGUUUAAUUUGAAGCAACGCGAAGAACCUUACCAGGUCUUGACAUCCUUUGACAACCCCAGAGAUAGGGGUUUUCCUUUGGGAACAGAAUGACAGGUGGUGCAUGGUUGUUGUCAGCUCGUGUUGUGAGAUGUUGGGUUAAGUCCCGCAACGAGCGCAACCCUUGAUUUUUGUUGCCAUCAUUUAGUUGGGCAAUUUAAAGGGGACGCCCGGGGCAAACCGGGGGGAAGGGGGGGAGGAGUCCAAUUCUCCUUCCCCUUAUGACCUGGGGUACCCCACUUGUUCCAAUGGCGGUACAAAAAAGUGCAAGACCCCGAGGUGGAAGUAAUCUUCUAAAACCGUUUUCAAUUCGGGAUGUAGGUUUCCAAUUGCCUUCCUGGAAGUGGGAAUCCUUGUUAUCGCGGAUUCACAAUGCCCCGGGAAUAAGUUUCCCGGCCUUGUACCCCCCCCCCGUCACCCCCCGAGGAUUUGGUACCCCCGAAGUCCGGGGGGUUACCAUGUGGAACCAAGGUCGCUAGUAGUGUUUUUCCGGGGG